UACGUAGGGCGCAAGCGUUGUCCGGAAUUAUUGGGCGUAAAGAGCUCGUAGGCGGCCUGUUGCGUCCGCUGUGAAAUCCCGGGGCUCAACCCCGGGCCUGCAGUGGAUACGGGCUGGCUAGAGGCAGGCAGGGGAGAACGGAAUUCCUGGUGUAGCGGUGAAAUGCGCAGAUAUCAGGAGGAACACCGGUGGCGAAGGCGGUUCUCUGGGCCUGUACUGACGCUGAGGAGCGAAAGCGUGGGGAGCGAACCGG
rnacentral:rRNA from 1 species